ACUCCUACGGGAGGCAGCAGUGGGAAUUUUGGACAAUGGGCGAAAGCCUGAUCCAGCAAUGCCGCGUGUGUGAAGAAGGCCUUCGGGUUGUAAAGCACUUUUGUUUGGGAAGAAAUCUGUCCGGCUAAUACCUGGACGGGAUGACGGUACCUUUCGAAUAAGCACCGGCUAACUACGUGCCAGCAGCCGCGGUAAUACGUAGGGUGCGAGCGUUAAUCGGAAUUACUGGCGUAAAGCGUGCGCAGGCGGCUCUGCAAGACAGAUGUGAAAUCCC
rnacentral:rRNA from 1 species